CCUACGGGGGGCAGCAGUAGGGAAUCUUCCACAAUGGGCGAAAGCCUGAUGGAGCAACGCCGCGUGGGUGAAGAAGGUCUUCGGAUCGUAAAACCCUGUUGUUAGAGAAGAAAGUGCGUGAGAGUAACUGUUCACGUUUCGACGGUAUCUAACCAGAAAGCCACGGCUAACUACGUGCCAGCAGCCGCGGUAAUACGUAGGUGGCAAGCGUUAUCCGGAUUUAUUUGGCGUAAAGGGAACGCAGGCGGUCUUUUAAGUCUGAUGUGAAAGCCUUCGGCUUAACCGGAGUAGUGCAUUGGAAGCUGGGAGACUUGAGUGCAGAAGAGGAGAGUGGAACUCCAUGUGUAGCGGUGAAAUGCGUAGAUAUAUGGAAGAACACCAGUGGCGAAAGCGGCUCUCUGGUCUGUAACUGACGCUGAGGUUCGAAAGCGUGGGUAGCAAACAGGAUUAGAUACCCCUGUAGUC
rnacentral:rRNA from 1 species